AUGGCACGCGCAUUGCUUCUCGGGGCGUUGCCGGAGGAUGUGCUGCUGCAGGUAUCGACGAAGCUCACCGCCAGGGAGGUAUGGGACACCGUGAAGGUGAGCUUCGUCGGCGCCGAUCGGGUCCGUGCAGCGAGGCUGGCGACACUGCGCGGCGAAUUUGACCGCCUGAAGAUGGCGGACGGCGAGGAGCUCGACGUGUAUGGCGGGAGGCUCGCGGCGAUGGCGGCGAGGUACGCCAACCUUGGGGAGACGUUGGGCGACGCGGCACUCGUCAAGAAGCUGCUGGAUACGGUGCCGGAUCGGCUCUUCCCCGUUGUCGCCGGCAUCGAGCAGUUCCACGACGUGACGAUGAUGGCGUUCGACGAAGCGCUCGGGCGGCUGCGCGCGUUCGACGAGCGAGUUCGGCGUCAACGGCAGAACAGCGGCGAGCGGGCGGACGGACAACUCUUGUUCACGGCGACGCAGUGGCGGGCGCGGGAGCGGCAUCACGGCAGAGCACGGGACGACGACAACGGGCGCAGCGUGGCGUCGGGGAGCGGCGGCAACAGGCGCAGGCGCUGCUACAAGUGCGGGAAGCACGGGCACUUCCGGCGCGAGUGCCCGCAGCUGCGGAAAGGACCGGCGGCGGAACAGGCUCUUUUGGCGGUGCCAACGUCGACAACGACAGACUCCUCUAGGCCGUGGCUUAGAGGGUGUGUGUUGAAAUAA
rnacentral:rRNA from 1 species